rnacentral:rRNA from 1 species
CCCAGACAGCCAGGAUGUUGGCUUAGAAGCAGCCAUCAUUUAAAGAAAGCGUAAUAGCUCACUGGUCGAGUCGGCCUGCGCGGAAGAUGUAACGGGGCUAAACCAUGCACCGAAGCUGCGGCAGCGAACGUAUCACCCAAGACAACUUUGCGGAGUUGACGAUUGACGGAGCGAAGCGACGUCAAAGCGUUCAUUAAAGUCGAGUUGGCUUAGGGAUACGUUCGUUGGGUAGGGGAGCGUUCUGUAAGCCUGUGAAGGUGGCCUGUGAGGGUUGCUGGAGGUAUCAGAAGUGCGAAUGCUGACAUAAGUAACGAUAAAGCGGGUGAAAAGCCCGCUCGCCGGAAGACCAAGGGUUCCUGUCCAACGUUAAUCGGGGCAGGGUGAGUCGACCCCUAAGGCGAGGCCGAAAGGCGUAGUCGAUGGGAAACGGGUUAAUAUUCCCGUACUUGGUGUUACUGCGAAGGGGGGACGGAGAAGGCUAUGUUGGCCGGGCGACGGUUGUCCCGGUUUAAGCGUGUAGGUGUGUGUUCCAGGUAAAUCCGGUUCACUUUAACACUGAGGCGUGACGACGAGGCACUACGGUGCUGAAGCAACAAAUGCCCUGCUUCCAGGAAAAGCCUCUAAGCAUCAGGUAACAUCAAAUCGUACCCCAAACCGACACAGGUGGUCAGGUAGAGAAUACCAAGGCGCUUGAGAGAACUCGGGUGAAGGAACUAGGCAAAAUGGUGCCGUAACUUCGGGAGAAGGCACGCUGACACGUAGGUGAAGUGAUUUACUCAUGGAGCUGAAGUCAGUCGAAGAUACCAGCUGGCUGCAACUGUUUAUUAAAAACACAGCACUGUGCAAACACGAAAGUGGACGUAUACGGUGUGACGCCUGCCCGGUGCCGGAAGGUUAAUUGAUGGGGUCAGCGCAAGCGAAGCUCCUGAUCGAAGCCCCGGUAAACGGCGGCCGUAACUAUAACGGUCCUAAGGUAGCGAAAUUCCUUGUCGGGUAAGUUCCGACCUGCACGAAUGGCGUAAUGAUGGCCAGGCUGUCUCCACCCGAGACUCAGUGAAAUUGAACUCGCUGUGAAGAUGCAGUGUACCCGCGGCAAGACGGAAAGACCCCGUGAACCUUUACUAUAGCUUGACACUGAACAUUGAGCCUUGAUGUGUAGGAUAGGUGGGAGGCUUUGAAG